rnacentral:rRNA from 1 species
UGGGGAAUAUUCCGCAAUGGACGAAAGUCUGACGGAGCAACGCCGCGUGAGUGAUGAAGGUUUUCGGACUGUAAAGCUCUGUUGUUUAGGACGAAAGUGCCUGUUGCGAACAGUUACGGGUAUUGACGGUACUAAACGAGGAAGCCACGGCUAACUACGUGCCAGCAGCCGCGGUAAUACGUAGGUGGCAAGCGUUGUCCGGAAUUAUUGGGCGUAAAGAGCAUGUAGGCGGAGAUUUAAGUCUGUUGUGAAAAUGCGGGGCUCAACCCCGUAUUGCGAUGGAAACUGAAUUUCUUGAGUGCAGGAGAGGAAAGGGGAAUUCCCAGUGUAGCGGUGAAAUGCGUAGAUAUUGGGAGGAAAACCAGUGGCGAAGGCGCCUUUCUGGACUGUGUCUGACGCUGAGAUGCGAAAGCCAGGGUAGCGAACG